rnacentral:rRNA from 1 species
GUGGGGAAUAUUGGACAAUGGGCGCAAGCCUGAUCCAGCCAUGCCGCGUGAGUGAUGAAGGCCUUAGGGUUGUAAAGCUCUUUCAGUGGGGACGAUAAUGACGGUACCCACAGAAGAAGCCCCGGCUAACUUCGUGCCAGCAGCCGCGGUAAUACGAAGGGGGCUAGCGUUGCUCGGAAUUACUGGGCGUAAAGGGCGCGUAGGCGGACAGUUUAGUCAGAGGUGAAAGCCCAGGGCUCAACCUUGGAAUUGCCUUUGAUACUGGCUGUCUUGAGUACGGGAGAGGUGAGUGGAACUCCGAGUGUAGAGGUGAAAUUCGUAGAUAUUCGGAGGAACACCAGUGGCGAAGGCGGCUCACUGGACCGUUGUUGACGCUGAGGUGCGAAAGCGUGGGGAGCAAACAGGAUUAGAUACCCCGGUAGUCC